GCGGCCGUGGCGGAAUUGGUAGACGCACCAGGUUUAGGUCCUGGCGCCUUCGCUGGCGUGAAGGUUCGAGUCCUUUCGGCCGCACCA
rnacentral:tRNA from 1 species